rnacentral:pre_miRNA from 1 species
CAGGGAGGGGGGGGGUCCCUCAGCCUGCAUUGCAAGAGGGCUCAGGCCAGGCCGAGGGACCCCGCCGGUGCACG